ensembl:lncRNA
GUUUAUACCAUGUGAAGAACAGCAUACCUUAUAGUAAGAAAGGUAGUACUAUAGUCUUUUCUUACACUAAACUGUAGACAAAAUAUAUUUUGUUUGUUAAUAUUGAUUAAACAUUGUAAGCUGAAACGAUGACCAUAAAAUCACCAUAGUUUCAAAGCAGUGCUGUAGUCACAUGACUAAAGCAUGUGCCUCUUUAAAAUCUCAGUGAAAUGAUCUGUGAGAGCAGCAUAAAGGCAAUAAACCUCAUCUUUAGUGCCUUUGAAGUCUAACUGAGCAGAUAAAAGCAAUACCCAUGAAUCAGUUCUGCUCAGUCCAGAAGCAACGUGUCAGCUAGUUAUAGGAUGUUAACACUGGGUUCAAGUUUUGGAAGGGUCAGAAAAAUCCUAAUACUCAUUUUUAAAUUGACUGGUAUGUCUAUAAAAAAAGCCCCAAGACUUAGAUCAAAUUUUCUCUUUGUUACUUAAGAUGUCAGGAUUUUCUCUGUAAGGUAUAGGUCCUAGACUUAAUGUUGAAGUUUUAGGAAGCAAAUGGAUUUCAGAAUUUAAACUUUUCUAGAUUUUAAAAUGAUAAUAAUAAGGUAUGUUACAUGACGUCACUGAAGAUUGUAUCCUGUCCGCUAGAAUCACCUCAUGAAAGGGGCAGUUUUAUCCUUUCAUUGCCUUCCAUAUUAUCAGGUUUCACCACCAUGCAAUCAGUUAUCAAAUGUGUUCACCUUCUGAACAUUUGGGGUAUUGGAAUUUUAGAUAAAGCAUAGUGUCUCACACCACACUGCUUGAAAAUUGUAAAAUUAUGUCUAUUUUCCCUGCAAGAGCUGUGUGCCAUUUCGCCUCACAAUGAGCACUUCAUCUCACACUUCAAGUGCAAGUUUGAAGGCAAAAGCAUGAAAUGAAGAGUGUUAGGCAAACUGCCAAAACCCUGCAGCAGCUGCCUGUCCAGGUGGGAUUUUAUGGGGCUGUGACAGGGAAGACGUCACUCAAACCUCUGAAACCAUUGUCUCCCCACAGCAGGAGCAGGGAUCUUUGAUGGCUUAGUGGGCACGAUAGCUACAAUUAAUCCUCCAGGCAGAAAUGGCUCUUCAGCAAGACUUAUUAGUCACUACUGAAAGUACAAAUCUAAAUACCAGGAAACAAAUGACUUCCUUUGGAGACCAAAAGAUGCAAUAUCUCUUUUCCCUUAUGCAGCUAACUCUACUAGAAAGACUGAGAUCAUCUUUUAUACCUCAGUGGAGAAGUACUUAAACCAGGGAGAAAGCAAACGUGAGACACAGCACCUGCUGCUAAACAUCUUCUGACAUCGACAAUCGAAGAGAGCUUAUAACAAGAACUAUCUGUUCCAAAGUGUCAGUGAUGUGGUAGUUGGAAAACCAGUGGAAAGAGUUUCAAACUACAAAAUGAAACAAUCCUACCAACCUUUGAUAAAGACUAAAGAAAUGCUACUGCCAUGUGAGUAUUGCAUUUCUUUCAGUUUUCUUAAACAUACCAUUUCUAUGUAAAGUUAUCCUUUCUUCUAUACCAACUGGAGUAGAUUUAAAUUUGUUUCUUUCACUCUCCAUGGUAUCUUCUCUGGUUAGAUUUAUUAACAUCAC